rnacentral:tRNA from 1 species
CCUUCGAUAGCUCAGUUGGUAGAGCGGAGGACUGUAGUGGAGUCAUUGAAAUCCUUAGGUCGCUGGUUCGAAUCCGGCUCGAAGGA